AUCAAGGCCUAACUCUGUCCUGUUCCUCAAGCUAUUUAUUAAUCUUUAUUCAGCUGACACUGUGAAUGCUAAAUUGGACCAGUAACUAUACUGGACUAUUAAACAUAGCCAUAAGCCCAUCUCACUCUACAGGUUAAUCCAGCCCUCUGUUGACCUUGCAGCAAAAUUAGUUUUUUUUUCCACAAUGCACCAUCUGGCGAGGUACUGGACCAAGACCAUUUAAAUUGAACCUGACAAUUUCUUCAGUAAGACGGUGACUUGUUUGGUGAGGAGGAGUGGUGUUAACGGUGGAGUGGGGAAAGACUUUCGUGGCUGUGCAGCUAAGCUGCAGAAAGUACACACUGUCACUGUUUCACUUCCGAAGGAGAAACCACAUUUCACACACAACACCCCCUGCUCCCCUCAACUCCACCGCACAUCUCGGAUUAUUUCACUGUCUCGGGAAACUACGGUAUCAUCACAAAAACACGAAUCUUGCAAUGGAAAUUCGGUAGCACAAUUAUAGUACAGCACAGUAGCUGUAGUGCUACGCUGGCUCAGUGGUUGACUCUGCUACUUCACUGAGUGCUCGGGUCACAAAUUCAAUUCCACCCCCGGGAAGUUGCAGGUGAGGAGUUUGCACGUUCUCUCUGCGUGCCUUUUGUCCAUGUGCGCUGGCUUCCUCCCACAACACAAACAUGCACAGGAAAGAAAUAACGAAAGAAACAUUCCUGCCUUGUGAUCUAUAAGAGGACAUAUCACUGCCUGAGCCGUCACUCUAGCAACAGAGGACGCAGCCAUUCAGUUCCAGGAGCCAGCAAACAACAUCAACUUUGUGAAAUCAAGUAUAUUGAUUCUGUGUCAGCGUAAUCGUGCUCACUCAUGAUUGUUUUGCCUUCCUAGGAAAAAAGCCAACCAUGGAAAAGUCCCAGCUGUUUAUUAAGUGCCUGUCAGAAGAGAUUGUUCGUCACGAAUCUGACAAGAUUCUUUUGCCAGAGAGACAAGUCAGAGCGCCUCUUAAGGGCACAGUGUCCUCACACUAUUGCAAGUAGUGUCGUCACAAUAUUGAGAAUAUUGAUCAAUGAACAAUGACGAAAAAAAGGACUGAGAGAUUUGUGGAUUAUACGAAAAACAAUUAUUUUUCAAUUGUGUAACCGUCUUGGAAACAUUUACAACAUUAUUAAGAACAAGCUUGUGUUCACUUGAAUUUUAAAGUUGUGUUUAGAGAUGUAAGUUGGAGAUUCCAAAAAAAAAGGCCAGAUGUAACACAACACCAAGUUUCACUCCAACAGCUUUAUUUGAAACCACACGUUUUCGAUGCACUAUUCCUUUGCAUUACAGUUCAUUCCAGCUGUCAGUAAUAGUGAUGAUGACUGGGGAAUAUCAUUAUACUCCCCAUGCAGUCUCCACGGACACUGUGACCAUUCCAUUGUGUCUCCUCGCCAAUGUCAUAUUUAUUCAGGUCCUGACUCAUUAAUCCAGGGUUUUAAUGAAGAAGUUCAUUAUAAUGCCAUGCUUGGCUUUGGUCUGAAGUCAAAACAUGUACAUAUGGCUGUUUCAAAACAUAUAAACUGCAAUAUAAUGGUUGUCAGUUCAUAGAACAGAAUGGAUGCGCAAUGACUGUUGCAGUUACAAUAUUGCCUUAUUCGAGCAUUGAGAGGAAAGUCUUGACAAAUGCUUACAUUCUGUGUACGGUCAGGGCAAACGUAUCUUGUGUUAAAAAAAUAUGCGUUUUUCCAGUGGAGAAGAGUUCAGUGGACUGAAACACUUUUGAUUGUGUUAUUUUGGGGGUGUUGGGAGUCAGGUGGUUAUAACAUUGUAAACAGACAAGACAGCAUAAUCAUAUGACCUGCAAAAAGAAAACAUGCAUCAUUCUGUCUCGCUACGACUUCGCGAGGGCAAUUAAAAACAGGAGAUGAGAGCAAUUGCCAUCGAUAUCAACAUCCAAUCCAGUCCAGUUACUACAAUGACCUGAACAUGCUGUCCUGAAAGGAUUGAACUGCAAAUUAUUUUUCAGCGACUGUGAUUGAAUUCAGUCUCCAUGGAUUCGAAAUAGACCACGGAGGCUAUCUAUCCCUAUUAGUAACGGGCUUCAUUCAAUGUGUUAUCUCAUUGUUGCAGCAGGAGUAUUGUCUGGGGAGACAAGGGGAGGGGAGAUCAGAGUCUGAGAGCAAUGGACUGGAAUGUUUCAAUAAUGGACAACAGGAGCUUAUUCUUGGGUAUUUCCUAUCUUUCUUGGCAAGCAUUACCAUAACGGAAAUACGGUCUACUACUCUUAAUUCAGGCAGGUAAAUAUUCCAUCCUCACUGUUGUUGGUGUUCUUGGUAAGUCUCUCGAGAUCUAGGCAUUUAUUAAUUCCAUAUACCAGGUUAAAUUUCCAUUCUAUUCCAUGAUUUAUAUUUGGAAAAGACAAAAACUCUUGUCUUAAGCUUCUUUUACGGAUUCCAUUCAUUAUUACCGAAUUUCAGACGCCCACACUCACAAACAACUGAGAACAAGACUUUUUCCAACCUCAAAGUUCCACUUUGCUCUGAACUGAUUUCUGUCUCUGUGUUCUCUUCACCAACAGUGUUGUCCACUAACAACUCUAUAAUAUACCAAGUCCUCACCUCUGCUGAAAAAACCAUCAACGACGUCCUGAUAAAAUUCGCACUGAAUGGUUCCAGCUCUCCACUGGCCAGUCUUCGGA